UACGAAGGGGGCGAGCGUUGUUCGGAUUUACUGGGCGUAAAGGGCGCGCAGGCGGCUCAUUUUGUCAGGCGUGAAAGCCCCGGGCUUAACCUGGGAACUGCGUUUGAUACGGAUGGGCUAGAGUUCGGGAGAGGAGAGUGGAAUUCCCAGUGUAGAGGUGAAAUUCGUAGAUAUUCGCAAGAACACCAGUGGCGAAGGCGGCUCACUGGCCCGGUACUGACGCUGAGGUGCGAAGGCGUGGGGAGCAAACAGG
rnacentral:rRNA from 1 species